AAGCAACAGUGGCCAACGCGUGACCAGCUCUCGCCCCCACGUUCUGUUUUCAAACUUUAUCGGUCGUGCCGCCCCGCCCGACUCUGAUAACGACAGCUCCGACCGCCUCGCUUUACGGAAGAGAAGGUUUUGCGGCCGUCGGAAUAAGAUUGCCUUUUCCACACUUGUCCACGAUGCUGCAGCAGGUAUGCGGGCUGGUUGCCUAUUCACGAGGGACCACCACAGGCGAUAUGAUACGGCUCACCCGGACGCACGACUGCAUGCGCAAGUAACUUCAAAAUUUUAGGAGCUAUGAGAACUGCAAGGUAUUUGGCGCGGCGGCCUCAGGUUUUUUUCCGGCGCCUUUGCAGAGACACGGGCAAACGGCAUCUCGACAAGAGGGGCCUG